ACGAGGGCCGCGGCCGUGGGGCGCUGGUAGCUCUCCCGCCCCUCCGCCCUGCACCCCUCCCGCCCUAGGGCUCUUUCCUGGACUGCGGCUGCAGCCUUCUCUUCCCGGAGGGCUCAGAGUUCGUCCCCUUUUCGCGAUUGGGAACGUGGACACGCCGGAGCCUGGAUGCAGAAGGGCGCGCGGGAACAGGGAGCUGGUGCGCGAGCCGCAGCCCAGCGUCCAGGCCGCCCCACUCUCUGCUGAUCCAAAGGACUAGGGAAACCCUGCGCGCCGACGGUGGCCUGGACGUUGGCGCGGGCCCUGGCGCUAAAAAACGGAUCCCAUUUCCAGAAAGGCGGGCCGGGUAUCCCGCUCCUGCCUCCUGGAGAAUUAGCUCGGCGGAGGUCGACCAGCCGGGUAGGGAGGGAGGGAUGGAGGGACAGGCCUAGGGUCGACCAGCCGGAUAGGGAGUAGCUUCUGGGAGCUCCCUUGCCUACGGAGGGCCGGUGAGGCUGCCCUCAGAGCGCCGCCAGCUGCAGCUGAGCCAGAAGCGUCCCCACUGGCUUACCCGAUAGUGGGAUUUUACACGGUGUCGGCUAAGGGUGGCUUUGUGAGAAGACCAUUUCAGAAGAAGAAACGGGGCUCUGGCUGGUGGGGUAGAAACCCCUAUGGAAUGAAAAGUACUCCCAGUCUCUUUGAGGAAGAUUGCAAAGUAAGAAACCCCGCUGGGCUCCGGCUCUGAACAGCACCGGAGGACUGCAACGCCCACCCAGGCCCUGCUGCGGGUCUCCGGUGGCCUCAGCUCCUGUCGGGUAACCUCCCUAGGCCUCCCGGAACGCUCACCGGAGCUCGAGCCUUUGGACGUUCAGGGGGCUCCAACUUUAUGUGGGGAUCCCCGGACCGCCAGUGCCUGCCUCCCCACCCCCCACCCUCAUCCCUUUGUUCGCCUCUCCGGACACCGAGUUGAAGGCAGGAAAAAAAAAUAAUUAGAUGGAAAUCAAAGAUUAGACGGGGUGCGCUGGCCGCCAGGGCGAAGCCAGCCCAACACUCCGCCGGCGCCUCAUAAAUCUUUUUCGCAGGCCUGACAAAAGCCACGUCCUCCAGUUCCCUGGGAAUCUAGAAACUUAUCGAUCUCCUCGACGUCCCCCAGACACCCCUCUUUGGGAUCGAGGACGGAGAGUCCUUGGUGACCCCCCCCCCCACUUAUGUCCAGCCCAGGACGUCCCAGCCCAAUCCCGGAGUUAAUUAAUUUUCAGAAGUGGAAGAAGGUGUCAGAGGGAGAGAUACCGACCUGGGCCCAACCCCCUCCCAGGAAGGGCAGCAAAUAUCCAAAACCCGUUUGUAAAACCAAAGAAAUGUUAGGGUGCCACGUUUCCCUUGCUCCAGCUGCCUGGAAGGAUGUAUUCUGAGAAGGGUGAGGGGCAGCUUAACCCCUCCUUGGCGACUCCUUUGUCUGGUCCAGCCAUUUCUGGAACCAGCGGGGCGCCUGGGACUGGGGUGUAGAAGCCAGGCUCCCAGGCGCUGGUCCCGCAGGUGUGACGCACGCUGCUGUUGUGGGUCCGAGCCACGGGUGUGUGCGGUCCACGUGCGAUCCACCCGGGAUUGCACCCGAGAGCCCUCCGCCGGAACAGUUGAGCACUUGCGGAGUCGUGGUGCUUUUAGAGUUUUUAAAAACUUGAAUUAAUUGGGGGAGUAGAGUGCUUUCCGACGCGAAUGGAGGUGUCUUAAAAAUUAUAUCCCAUUGUUGAACCAGUUGUUUCCGAUCUUAGGUAUUAAAGAAAUGUUGCCACAUUUAA
rnacentral:lncRNA from 1 species